GGGGCCGAUCCGGAUUCGACGGCGACUGGAAAGCUGACGUGCAUGCCGAGCUGCGGUGGAUCUCGUAAAACUCUUCCGCAAACAAGCUAGUUGCGAACGACGCGAACUACGCCCUCGCCGCUUAAUCCGGUGAGCGUCUGACCGGUUGGUGUUGAUACCGCCGAAUCAGACGUCGACUCAUAUCAACUCGCGGUGAGGCAGGUCACUGGCCAAUCCGCUAAAACCCUAAAGUGAAUAAGCGGCGGCGAUCCGUGCCCAUCCGGAAGCCACCGACCAAAAUCAAUGAACGGGCUACGCAUGUAGAUCGAAGGACGGAAGGUUGUCGGACGGGGGUUCAAUUCCCCCCGGCUCCACCA
rnacentral:tmRNA from 1 species